GGAGCGCGCAGUUCUAGUUAGACGUCAGUCUUGGUGUAGCAGUCGUCAGUGUUAUUUGGCUGAGUGGUAGCGGAAGCAUAAUGGAGUGCCCAUGCUGUCAACAGUUUCCUGACGAGAUAGAGAUGUUGUACCGAUUUUACACCACAGUGCAAUACAACCAAACUGCACUACCAUAAGGACAUCUCAUUUCUGUUUGCCUGUCGGCUCAGACUGGGACACUCGUGGUACGUAUGGAAAAUGAAGCUUAUGGACGUCUGUAUUGAAUCCAGAAGCACCAGAAUUUGUAAGUUCAACAGUGACGGUGCAGCAGUCGCCGUUACAUCAAGAUGCACCUGAACUUCAGAGG